rnacentral:antisense_RNA from 1 species
GUAAAUGGCAGGUGCCGGCAGGGAGCCCCUGCGUGGGCUGCCGGUUCCGAUAUGCCGGUCUGUCAACCCUGUCAGGUGCCUGCCGCUCCC